GACGAACGCUGGCGGCGUGCUUAACACAUGCAAGUCGAACGGAAAGGCCCGGCUUUUGUGGGGUGCUCGAGUUGCGAACGGGUGAGUAACACGUGAGUAACCUGCCCUUGACUUUGGGAUAACUUCAGGAAACUGGGUCUAAUACCGGAUAGGAGCUCCUGCUGCAUGGUGGGGGUUGGAAAGUUUCGGCGGUUGGGGAUGGACUCGCGGCUUAUCAGCUUGUUGGUGGGGUAGUGGCUUACCAAGGCUUUGACGGGUAGCCGGCCUGAGAGGGUGACCGGCCACAUUGGGACUGAGAUACGGCACAGCCUCCUCCGGGAGGCAGCAGUGGGGAAUAUUGCACAAUGGGAGGAAGCCUGAUGCAGCAACGCAGCGUCCGGGAUGACGGCAUUCGGGUUGUAAACCGAUUUCGCCUGUGACGAAGUGUGAGUGACGGUAAUGGGUAAAGAAGCACCGGCUAACUACGUG
rnacentral:rRNA from 1 species